rnacentral:lncRNA from 10 species
GCCUGCCACCGCACCCAGCUAAUUUUUUGUAUUUUUAGUAGAGACGGGGUUUCACCGUGUUAGCCAGGAUGGUCUUGAUCUCCUGGCCUUGUGAUCCACCCACCUCGGCCUCCCAAAGUACUGGGAUUACAGGCGUGAGCCACCGUGCCCGGCCAAGCCUCUUCUCUCUUGUAGCUGUAGAACCAGUGUAGCAAAUACUUGGGCUCCAAAUUUAAUCCUAUUGAUUGCAUGAAUACAAUAUAAAUACAAUUCACAGCCUUUCUAGGUCUCUCAUGUGAAAGGUAGGGUUGGGGGAAAGAUUAGACAUCUGAGACUCAAAAUAGGAGGAUUUGGGUAGAUUUUCAUAUAUCUGUUAUAAAAUGGAAGCAUUAUUAUUAUUUAUGUGUGGUAAAGCCAACAGAUCAGAAGACAACUGCCAUUGAAAAGAGAGUUUGUUACUCACAGUUUCCUGGAGGAGGAGCAUGCAGAACCACAUGGGGAAGCACCAGAGGCAGAAGGAGCAGGCAAGAGCAUGCAGGCAGAGUCUUUACUGUGGGCUUUGCAGGAAGGAAUGGGUGAGGCAGGCUCCACAGGCUGAGGAUUGGCUAGUGUGGAUAAUUCAGCAGGCUCUGGAGGAUAGAGAUGGCUGCCAGUUGCCUGGCACCUGGCUCUGGUGAUUAGGGGAGAGAGAGCACAAUAAAGGAGGUAUUUGGUGGGUAGUCGCUUUGCAUUGGUUGGGUUGCAUAUGAAAAGUGCACUUGCAGACGAGUCUUUUACUCUGUCUAGGAACUGUCCAGCCCUGGGAUGGGCAGACACUCUAGGAUCAACAAGGUCCCAGAUAUCAAACACCAUAAAUACAAAACACUGAAAAUACAAAAACUUCAAAAACAAAAAAAGGCACGAUUAAUACAGUAUUCAAGUACCUUGAAAACACAAAUCCCACUGAGUCUCACUUACCAGCAAAAAAAACCUUUCCUCUCUUCUGAAAACUCUGGCCAUUUCCUGCUUGAGAGUCCUGGAAUGAUCUCAUAUGAAGCAGUUACUUUAUAGAAGGAUGCUAAUUAUCUUCAAAACCCAACCCACCAACUCUCCUGGCCUCCAGGAUUAUAAAUACAACUCAAUUUCACAGUAUCCCACAGGAAAAAAAAGUACAAAAAUUGGAUCUGGAGGACAUUAAACAACAAAAGGAUGCUAAAAUUUUGCUAAGACAUCAGAAUGCACCUGCAAAAUAUGGUUGAGAUAAAAUCUAAAAGUACUAAAACAAGGGGGAAAAACAUAGCACUGGAGUGGACUGGAUUAAUCCAUAUAAUUAGUUUAUGGCAUAUUCUGAAUUCAAUAAACUAAUGAACAGAUGGGAGUGGCUCUAAUAGUUUGCUUGGUUAAUUAAACCUUGCAUUUAAAAGUGUUCUACAUUAAAUGAUGCAGUCAUGUCAGAUAUUUCUAGUUACACUGAAGAGAAAAGGAUACAAAUUCUUAGGGAGAUGAGAAGUUGGGGCAGAUUCAUUAUGCUAAUGAAUCCCUCUCCAUCCCUCUUUAUGUCCCAUAAGAAGGUCUAAAGAUGCUUCUUUCACCAAAGCAGUAGGAAUGCAUCAAUGAAGGGUAAGGGGCAAUAUGCUGGAAGUGGUUAACGGUCUACAGAAAUCAUGCUUCCUUUCCAUGUUGUAGAAGGACAUUAGAAAGUGUCUCUGCCCAGCUGGGCGCAGUGGCUCACGCCUGUAAUCCCAG